CCGACCUUAGCUCAGUUGGUAGAGCGGAGGACUAUAGAUGACGCAGAUAAUCCUUAGGUCACUGGUUCGAAUCCGGUAGGUCGGA